rnacentral:rRNA from 1 species
UACGUAGGGGGCAAGCGUUGUCCGGAAUCAUUGGGCGUAAAGCGCGUGUAGGCGGCUUGGCAAGUCGGUUGUGAAAGCCCGGGGCCCAACCCCGGAAUUGCAUCUGAAACUGCCUGGCUAGAGUCCCGGAGAGGAAGGCAGAAUUCCCGGUGUAGGGGUGAAAUCCGUAGAUAUCGGGAGGAAUACCAGCGGCGAAGGCGGCCUUCUGGACGGUGACUGACGCUGAGACGCGAAAGCGUGGGGAGCAAACAGG